CGCUAUCACUCCUACGGGAGGCAGCAGUGGGGAAUAUUGCACAAUGGGGGAAACCCUGAUGCAGCCAUGCCGCGUGUGUGAAGAAGGCCUUCGGGUUGUAAAGCACUUUCAGUAGGGAGGAAGGUAGUGUAGUUAACACCUGCAUUAUUUGACGUUACCUACAGAAGAAGCACCGGCUAACUCCGUGCCAGCAGCCGCGGUAAUACGGAGGGUGCGAGCGUUAAUCGGAAUUACUGGGCGUAAAGCGCAUGCAGGCGGCCUGUUAAGUCAGAUGUGAAAGCCCGGGGCUUAACCUCGGAAUUGCAUUUGAAACUGGCAGGCUAGAGUCUUGUAGAGGGGGGUAGAAUUUCAGGUGUAGCGGUGAAAUGCGUAGAGAUCUGAAGGAAUACCAGUGGCGAAGGCGGCCCCCCUGGACAAAGACUGACGCUCAGAUGCGAAAGCGUGGGGAGCAAACAGGAUUAGAUACCCUGGUAG
rnacentral:rRNA from 1 species